UAUGCCCGGUGUGUGGUGCUGGCCGCCAGGGAUGCAAGCGCCGCCCUCCAGUGGAUGCAUCCCUGGCGGCCAGCACCGUACACCAGGCAUAUU